rnacentral:rRNA from 1 species
GACGAACGCUGGCGGCGUGCCUAAUACAUGCAAGUAGAACGCACAGUUUAUACCGUAGCUUGCUCCACCAUAGACUGUGAGUUGCGAACGGGUGAGUAACGCGUAGGUAACCUGCCUGGUAGCGGGGGAUAACUAUUGGAAACGAUAGCUAAUACCGCAUAAUAUUAAUUAUUGCAUGAUAAUUAAUUGAAAGGUGCAAUUGCACCACUACCAGAUGGACCUGCGUUGUAUUAGCUAGUAGGUGAGGUAACGGCUCACCUAGGCGACGAUACAUAGCCGACCUGAGAGAGUGAUCGGCCAAACUGGGACUGAGACAAGCCCCAGACCCCUACGGGCGGCAGCAGUAGGGAAUCUUCGGAAAUGGACGAAAGUCUGAACGAGCAACGCCGCGUGAGUGAAGAAGGGUUUCGGAUCGUAAAGCUCUGUUGUAAGAGAAGAAAGGGUGUGAGAGUGGAAAGUUCACACUGUGACGGUAUCUUACCAGAAAGGGACGGCUAACUACGUG